UGAUUUUUAUUUGGUAAUUUCGGAUACUGAUUUUAUGACUUUUUUUUUUGUUGAUCCAGAACAACUGGAGCUGUUGAAAUUGAAGUGGGAAGCAAGAGUUUCGAUCAUGCGAUGUUUGUUAUUUUUUGGCUACAUUUUGAACAAGUAUUUUUUGUUAGAACUUAUGUUCGAAAUUUAAUUUGAAUACUGAGAUUGUAAUUUGAGAGUGGAAACUAUUUGUUAUACAAAUUAUUAAUGCUUUUUGGUUAUUACUGUUUUUUAAUAUUUCAAUUCAUUGUAGUAUUUAGUUGUGAGUCUAGUAUUUUAAUAUUAAUUGUAAUUGUCUCUAUAAGCUUUAUUUAUCAAUAAUUUAUAUGUUUUUUGUGGCAAUUACAAUUAAUUAUAGCGGCAUUUAUAAUAGUUGUUAUUGUAUAGUCUUUAGCGGCAUUUAUUUGGAUUUUUACCAACCGCCGGAAUAAAUGCCGCUAUAACUUUUAGCGACCCUACCAAUACCGGCAAUUGUCAAAAUUGCCACGAUAUCAUUUAGCGGCAAUUAUAAUUGCCACUAAUUUAAAAAAUAAUCGCUAUUAAAACUUAAUUUUGUUGUAGUGUCAUGUCUAAAACAUGGAAUAAAGGCUAAUGUCCCAAUGGCCUAUCACUAGGACAACAUAUAGAAGUUUAACCAUUCACUAGGUUGAAUGCCUCUUUAUGACAUUUUUGUCUACUAUAUCAAACAUGAGUUUUAUGUCCAAAAGCAUAUAUUAUUCUAGUCAUUUUCAUUGCAUGAAACAUGACCCCAACUCACAUAAAAGAAUACUAUUCACAUGCGUGAGUAAUAUACACAUAUCUCUCUACUAUAUAGAGUUAAUUUUUUCAUGAAACAUAGCACAUACAUUUUAAGCAUUCUAAAAUUCACAUAUGCUCUAUCUAGCAUGAAUAUGCAUGAAUUUCUAUUUU
rnacentral:lncRNA from 1 species